rnacentral:misc_RNA from 1 species
UUGUGUUAGGGAUUGCAAUGGAAAGCCCACAGCCUGACGAAGGAAGUGCGAGGACUUGUAUUGGAAAGCCCGACCCUUU